rnacentral:rRNA from 1 species
CCCUUAGAUGUCCGGGGCCGCACGCGCGCUACACUGAAGGAAUCGGCGUGGCUUUCUCCCUGACCCGAAAGGGUUGGGAAACCCGUUGAAUCUCCUUCGUGAUAGGGAUUGGGGCUUGAAAUUGUUCCCCAUGAACGAGGAAUUCCCAGUAAGCGCGAGUCAUAAGCUCGCGUUGAUUACGUCCCUGCCCUUUGUACACACCGCCCGUCGCUACUACCGAUUGAACGGUUUAGUGAGGGCCUCGGAUUGGUCUCGGUCCGCUCUUUACCGGGCGGCGCCGUUGGUCGAGAAGACGCUCGAACUUGAUCGUUUAGAGGAAGUAAAAGUCGUAACA